CGCCAUCCAGCCAUCCCGCAGCCUCACCACCACCAGCCCCGCCAUCCAGCCAUCCCGCAGGUUCACCACCACCAGCCCCGCCGUCCAGCCAUCCACCAGGACCCUCAGAGCCAGAGAAUGCAGCCAUAGGAUGUCUGGUACAGAAACAUUUUAUCCAGUCAAGAGGGUCGUAAACCACAAAAGGCUUAAGGGAAAAACAAUGGAACUUAUUGAGUGGGAGCCCUGUUCGAUGUGGUAUGCAAUAUGUCUCUUCAUUCUAUUCUAUCGUCUCAAAUAUUAGCAAAGAAAUAGCAUUAUUAUUAUUCUCAUUAUUGUUUUAACAGUUUAAAGGGUGAAGCAUCAAAAUAGUUUAUGUGUACUCCUUAAUCAAACUUUCAUAAUGAUGUCAACUACAGUAAUCAGGUUACUGAAUUCAUGUAAAAAAAUUGACUCAAAACUGUUCUUCUCUAUUGACAUGUUUUUGAAUUUCAUUCAUUGCUGAUAUAAUAACAAAUCUUUUUCACAGUGGGAAGACCUGGCCCCUCGAGUGGGUAGCCAAGGAAGACACCAAGUCUUAAAUGACAUAGAUAUAUUUUUUAUGUUCAUAUGUCUUGUUAUGUUCAAAACAACAAAUAAAGUUCAAACACUAAAACCUCAAACCCUUACCUAAUAUGUAUUGUCCCAGUUGAGUUUCCGUACUGUGCCUGACCCGCUUGUGCAUGCGGCAUAGAGUUAUGAUGCAGGUAUAUCUUAAUAUCCUUUUUUUUUUUUUCAUAGUUCCUUUUAAUUGUUUCAUAGUAUCCGGAAUUAGAUGUACGACCCCUCGUUAACGUUUACAGUAAAUAACAUAAAUGACAAAUACGACAAUGACUCAGACAAUAUGAAACUUGGUAGCAUUAUUGCAUAUUGCAUUUUCCACGGAAAAAUUUCAUUUUUUUUUUUUUUAAACCUGACUUCCUCAUGUUUCUUCUUCUUCUUCUUCUUCUUGCAACUUUAUUUAAAUGUGACCGUUCACGUGACCAGUGCGUCUGACAAUGUAAAUGUAUUUUUUGUUUGUUUUAUUCUAAUCAACCUUUAUUGGCAGAGUAUUUGGUACAAAGGCAGAUAUUUACGUACAAAGAAGCAAACAAACAAACAAACAAACAAACAACAGCCAGGAGGAUUAUUCAAAUAAAAUCAUUACAUAAUGAGGCAGCGAGCUUCAUCAGCGCAUUCACCGAACCUCGCGCGUGCGCGCGCACACACACACAAACACG